UUACUCUGUGGGAAAUGAUGACU
rnacentral:piRNA from 1 species